rnacentral:misc_RNA from 1 species
CGGUCCUUCCAAGUGAUUGAAUUAGACAGCAUUAAGAAGGAGCGGCCGGACAGAAGAAAAUACAUCAUAGAAAACUUUGACUGCCUGCGCAUAGAUCUGACAAAAGAUGACACAAGCAUAGGGACUGUGACCGGAAGACACGCAAAAAAAGAAUUCAGCCCUUUACACAAACCGGAAGUGGUAAUUAUUGAAGGCAUGGCGGAGAAAACGUUCAACAUGGAAAUGAAGUCUGUCAUGCGCAAGCUCGGAUACUCGGGUUUCCUGGAAAACGUGAGACACGGCAAAGGAACGGCCUUCUUUAUAAGGAAUGAUAAAUUAAAGAAAAAGAAAUCGCUACCAGCAACAGUGUUCGCUUUUACAUUACGUUAUCCUUUAGUCUAAACAAAGAAUCACCACUUAUUGGACUCAUAUUGAAUGAUCAGAGAGAUCUAGAGCUAUACUUCUUGAAGGAUCUAUGUCCAUGAAAAAGAUCAGUUUUUAGUUUAGUACAAAGCUGUUAUUUUGUAAACGAAAGUGUAUUGAUGUGUCUAUUGUAAAUGUAUAGUUAUGUAUGUAGAAAGUAAAUGUUAUGACGAU